AGAGUUUGAUCAUGGCUCAGAUUGAACGCUGGCGGCAGGCCUAACACAUGCAAGUCGAGCGGAUGAGUGGAGCUUGCUCCAUGAUUCAGCGGCGGACGGGUGAGUAAUGCCUAGGAAUCUGCCUGGUAGUGGGGGACAACGUUUCGAAAGGAACGCUAAUACCGCAUACGUCCUACGGGAGAAAGUGGGGGAUCUUCGGACCUCACGCUAUCAGAUGAGCCUAGGUCGGAUUAGCUAGUUGGUGAGGUAAAGGCUCACCAAGGCGACGAUCCGUAACUGGUCUGAGAGGAUGAUCAGUCACACUGGAACUGAGACACGGUCCAGACUCCUACGGGAGGCAGCAGUGGGGAAUAUUGGACAAUGGGCGAAAGCCUGAUCCAGCCAUGCCGCGUGUGUGAAGAAGGUCUUCGGAUUGUAAAGCACUUUAAGUUGGGAGGAAGGGCAGUAAGUUAAUACCUUGCUGUUUUGACGUUACCAACAGAAUAAGCACCGGCUAACUUCGUGCCAGCAGCCGCGGUAAUACGAAGGGUGCAAGCGUUAAUCGGAAUUACUGGGCGUAAAGCGCGCGUAGGUGGUUCGUUAAGUUGGAUGUGAAAGCCCCGGGCUCAACCUGGGAACUGCAUCCAAAACUGGCGAGCUAGAGUAUGGCAGAGGGUGGUGGAAUUUCCUGUGUAGCGGUGAAAUGCGUAGAUAUAGGAAGGAACACCAGUGGCGAAGGCGACCACCUGGGCUAAUACU
rnacentral:rRNA from 1 species